UACGAACUGUGCGAACGUUAUUCGGAAUCACUGGGCUUACAGGGUGCGUAGGCGGCUUGUUAAGUCGGGUGUGAAAGCCCCCGGCUCAACCGGGGACUUGCGCCCUAAACUGGCGAGCUGGAGUGAGAUAGGGGUGUGUGGAACUUCCGGUGGAGCGGUGAAAUGUGUUGAUAUCGGAAGGAACGCCGGUGGCGAAAGCGACACACUGGAUCUUGUCUGACGCUGAGGCACGAAAGCCAGGGGAGCGAACGGG
rnacentral:rRNA from 1 species